AAUGAACGUUGGCGGCGUGGAUUAGGCAUGCAAGUCGUGCGGAAGUGGCCCGCAAGGGUUACUUUAGCGGCGAAAGGGAGAGUAAUACGUAGGUACCUACCCCUGGAACCGGGAUAGCUGCGGGAAACUGCAGGUAAUACAGGAUAACGUCUCCGGACCAAAGGUGUGAUUCCGUCCGGGGAGGGGCCUGCGUCCUAUUAGCUAGUUGGUGAGGUGAUGGCUCACCAAGGCAAAGAUGGGUACGGGGGAUGAGAGUAUGCCCCCGCUCACUGGGACUGAGACACUGCCCAGACACCUACGGGUGGCUGCAGUCGAGGAUCUUCGGCAAUGGGGGAAACCCUGACCGAGCGACGCCGCGUGUGGGAUGAAGGCCCUCGGGUUGUAAACCACUGUCAGAGGGGAUGAAAUGCUAUGGGGUUCUCUCCAUAGUUUGACAUAUCCUCAGAGGAAGGACGGGCUAAGUUCGUGCCAGCAGCCGCCGUAA
rnacentral:rRNA from 1 species